GCCCAGAUACGCAAACCGGCAAAGCGACCACACUCAGAAUGUGGUGAUUUUGGGGGUUCGACUCCCUCUCUGGGUA
rnacentral:tRNA from 1 species